AUGAGUGUUUAUGAUCAUCUGACACCUGGAACCACUCGAGUAUCGGCAUCCUCCAGACAAGCUAAAGAACAACCAUCGGUGUCUCCUCUUCUCCCGCUUGCUUCCCCUGUCGUCAAAAAGAAAGUAAUUCAGAUCCCAUCAUUUGAUGAAAAGGGGCUCGUCCACGAGAAACAGGACUCAAAGCAGACAGCUGACAGAUCAUUUAUUCCCGUCGGUUCGUCCAAAUCAUGUCAGCAUCCACAGAUGAACCACAGAGGGAGAGGUUCAACCCUCCCCAGAACCAAAGCCACGGCCCACAGCUCUCCAGCCCUCUCUGCAAAGCCCAGCAUCUCCGUUUUUCCUGCUCCCCAGCCAAAUUCCUCUCCCACUCCCACUCUGACACUUAAGCCGAGCGACUCUGCCCCCGCUGCACAGCUGUCCGAGCCACCGCUGCACCUUCAUCAGCCCAAACCAAGCGUGUCUCCAACGCUGGUCGUCCCAGCACCGAGGCUGAGUCCGUCUCCCACGGGUUCGGACGGCCAUGGUGGCAGGCAGCCGUCGCCGGUGGCUAAAGAAAGACGCGCUCGAUCAAUCGCCAUCUCAAAUGCUAAAAGUUUGUCCCUGGACACAAAGGGCGACGUUCUGGACCUGGAGGCCUUCCUGGACUUCACUCAUCCAACACUGGGAAGACCUUGUCCCACAACAACAAAAGAGUCAGUCGCCUCCGCGAACCUCGGCUUACUUAGAGGUGAAGGCAAAACGGAUAAUAAUUUAAAAGACAAACAAGCGCUGCGGAGGAAUUUUGAGUCGACUGCAAUUUCUAAACCAAACACAAACAUCAAACAGCGCCUGGAAUUUCUACAGAGUCGAUUGACAAGUAAACAGAAAACCUGUUUGUCUGAAGGGUCUGAAGGGAUUAAGUCUGCUAAUGUUGUUCACAGAGACUCUGAGUCUGUGUUUGAUGGAUUGGCUACACAGUGGAGCCGGAAACUUCAGAGGACAUGUACAGACUCCCCUCAAAAUAGGCAUUAUGCUCAGAGUGAAGGCUUGGCCUCCAGGCAUCAAUCCUAUCAGCAUGUGAAUUCAGAGAGAAGUGCAGCUUUACAACUCGAUCCUAAAAUAUCACUUUCCACGCAGCCUCCCUGGAGUCAGUCAACAGUUUCACCUAAUAUCGAGACGAGGAGGAGACGAUCCGAUUUGGGUUCUGGUGUCAGGAGACCUCAGGAAGAGCAAAACAGUUCACACGCAGCUACAGGACAUUGUGAGCCCCGUCAGCACGGCGCACUGCGGUUGAAGGCCUGCAGCCGAGGUGCCCGGGCUGAGUGCGUCUCAGAGGACGCUCAGUGUGAGCACAGGUUGAACCCUCCUCACACGCAGGACGCUUCCCGAGCCGCCGGCGCUGAGGACCUGAGUCAAAGAGCCGUUUUUGCACCAUCGGACCAUUGUGUAAUGACCACAAAGCAGCUAGAACGACACCCAGAGAAAAACUGGACUCUGCCUCCGGCUCACGGGCCGCUCAGCGCCGAAUCCGGCGUCGCUACAAACGGGGUCCCGCCGACGCCACUGCAGCGGAGAGAGGAGACAAUGACACUGGCUUCACUUCAACCACCUGGCGCUCCAGCAAACAGAGCUUCCAUCGUGGAGGAACCAGAGGACCCCUAUUACGUCACCAUGCAUUACCCUGGUUCAGUGUACGUGGGUGAGUACAGAGGCACCCAGAGCACUUAG
rnacentral:lncRNA from 1 species